UUUUUUAAGAUACAGGACACACGCACAUAUAGAUUAGUAAAAAGAAUAGACUAAUGUUAAAACUAUAACAAAUUCAUCCUUUUAGGGUAAAUUCAUCCUUGCUUGAUCUACCCUUCCACUUUUAAGUGAGUGUCACCUUGAAACUGAUGAAAUUGGCACUACACAGGCAAGUGAUCUAAAUCUCGGAAAGCCCAAUUGACUUUCCUCUUUUCCUGCUUGUUCUUACAGAGAGAACCGCACUUCCUCUUUUCCUUCUUAUUCUGGUUGCAUUCAAAGGACUUCCCAAGAAAUCCCAUAUUUGCCUGCUGUAAGUAUCAGAAAACCCAAAUAGACUGCAGGGACCAAUGAUCAACACUCGUCGCCAAAAUUCCAUGGCAAGUG
rnacentral:misc_RNA from 1 species